GGAGGAUUACUCAAGUGGUUUAAGAGGCCCGCUUGGAAAGCGUGUAGACGUUGAAAAACGUGCGUGGGUUCGAAUCCCAUAUCCUCCU
rnacentral:tRNA from 1 species